AAUCAGUUGGGAAGCAGCUCUGGCAGUCACUCGCUCUGUUUCCUUUCCUCCACCUUUCUUCUUGUGCCACAAGCAGUGCUGGGGAAGGGGGAAGCCUCCCAAGCUCUUCUGUGUGCCCCAUUUCACCCUUGGGUGCAGGGGAAGUGGUGGGAGCUGGGACUGGCCUGGCUGGCCUGAGCUGGGAGAGCACUGUGUAUUCAGGUUUCUUCAAGCAGGUCAGACAUGGGAGUCCUCAUUUCUUCUCUGUCCUUACAACCACUGGAAAGAAUUUUCUACAAAUAGUGCGGAUGGCACAGUGUGCCUGGAUUUCUUUUUGCCCACUACCCAACUUCCAGCAGACCUGGAGCCAGAGGAAGCAUUCCAGCCCAGUGUCAGUGGAAGGCUGGAAGAUGUAGUGUCCUCAACAUGAUUGACUGCUUGAAGCAUUCCUCAGAGAGAACUGUGUUAUGAAAAAAACCUGUUCUGGUACAAAAGGGGAAGAGUUUGCUUCUUAAUGAGAAAGACUUGCAGCCCUGCUGACUUACUCAAUUUCUUCUAAUUCACUUAAAGUACUGAAGGCAUUUAAAGUGCAUUCCUAGCUUUGAGCAGAUAAGAGGACUGAAAUCAGGGAGCCUGCUCAAAAGACUGCCUUAAGUGAGACAAAUCUGUUUGAGUACCUCAGUGAACUAAAGGCUAAAAGAGAGAUCUUAUUUCUGAGCACAGCUAACUCUGAAUAUUGAGUAUUUCAUGAUGCCAGCACAAAAACAGAGAAAAAAAAAAUUACACUUUAAUUUGAAACACAAAUAAGAAUGAGGAAGUUGUUUUUCAUACGUAUUGUUCUUCAGCAGGCAAAAAAGCAAUUGCUUUUUGUUACAAAUCCCUCUCCUGAUUUUAUUCUUAAGCAUUGUGUACUCUUCUUGUUUUUUAUAUUUUAAAACUGUCCCUCUGCUUUUUUUUUCUGGCUCUUGGACUGAGAUCUAUUGUAGAAUUUGUCUGCAGUUCUCUUGUCCAUUCCAAACAGAUGAUGUGUUGUUUAAAAUAAUGUCGAUAUUGUUACACUAUUCUUUGCUGCAGUUACAACUUUUAUAUCCUUAACCUCAUGCUUUAGGCUUGCAGAACAAUACUUACUGUGCUUGCAGCUAAAUUAAGGUAGUAGUUAGGAAAACUGUUGUGAACAGCAAUGACUCUCUGUCCUUGCUUAAGGCAACUAGGCCUGGAAAGUUCCCAAUCUGUGAAGGUCAGAUUCUCUUGUUAGGAAUACCUGGUUCCAGGCACAAAUUACUUCCAUUAGAUCAGAUGUGUGUAUGCAUGUAUGUAAUUAGUAGAACCAAAGCAGAUAGGAUUCUUACGGGAACAGCUAUGGAGCCAAUGAAGCUAUUGUAUCAGAGGGGUUGGGGGUAUUUUUCAAUAAAUAUAUUACACAAAGAACAGAAUCAUAUUACUUUUUACACCAAAUUGCAUCAUAUCCCAAAACCUCUGCUUUACAGCAUAGCUAGACAAAGAAUGUAAAGCUCGUAUUUUAUUCUUGUGUCUCAAAAUGAUGUGAUACACUGAAUUGUGCAUGGCAUAGCAAAAUAUUAUAGAGUUUUAUUUUAAGAGUAUGCCCAUUUUGGAUGAGCAGUAAUGAAACUGCUUUCCUUAUGUGGUGCUUGGAGAAAGGCAAGCAUUUUUUAAGGAGCUCUGUCUUGUUCAAGAAUGCAGAGGACUGGCAAAAGCCAGCAGUGGAGACAUACUAGGCAUAUCCAGUACCAGAAAACUUCAGUACUUGCAGAACUUGCCAUUUCGGUUACUAUAUUAGCAUACCCAUUGGGUCAAAAUGAUCUCUAGAAACCAGUGGAAGUUCUUUGACUAGUUUCCCUGGGCAGGUGAACAUGAUUCUUUGAGGGGACUCACUGAGUCUUUACUGGUCUGAAGGCAUUGCUGGUGUUGUCGCAACUGCUGGGAAACCACCAGUGGGAAAUUCUAGAGAUUAGCAGGUACCAUGGUGUUAAAAUUGAUGAAAAAGAUGUUAUCUCAUGAUGCUGUUAUUUGGCAAUCAGGUGUUUCAGGUCCCCAAAAAUCCUGUAAGUCCUGUACUCCUACUAGAAGAAGGAGGAGUCUGAUCCUUCAGCCAGCAAAGUUCCGCUGUCAGAAGAGACUUCCUGCUAUGAACCUGGUAUUACUGGGCAGACAGUAAAGCUCCAUGUCUCUGUUGCAUCUGCAGAACUGGAAAUAAUGCCUCGAAGUACCUACUUUGAUAUAUCUCAUUGUGCAAACAGAAACACAAGAGUCUGAGAGAGCACAAACUGACUGAGGAUCAAGAUGGUCAAGAUACUGAUUGCAGAAAUUGAUGAAAACUUCCUUAGGUGACAUGACUUGGCUUCUGUUGUUUUUUUUUCUUUUCCAUAACUGCCAUCUUAGAAUCCAUGCCAGACUCAAAAGACCAAAAAAGUAAGAUUGUUUAUAGUAUGCAAUCUAUACACAACUAAAGUCAUUGCUGAUGUGAAACAACUGUCUUCAGUAAAGUUUUGCCAGAGUUGAGUGCUGCUCAGUCACAUUGUAUGUGUGUUAGCAUGGUUUCUAAGAUACUGAUCACAGCAAUACAAAUAAUUGUAUUUAGAAUAUUCUUCUGCCAUUCUUUUUUGUUGUUCAUUCCAGAUGCAAGUACUCUGCAGCUGGAUGUAAGUCAUGUAGCGUGGGGCCCACAGUUUCCACUCUUCCAUCUAGGAUAAAAAGAAUAUUAUUCCUGUAAAAAUAACCAGACAUCUAAUUGCAUUUGCUAUGGGUAUACUGAAGGCUGUCUCUCCCAGCUGUUUUCUAUGUGUAGCAUUGGACAUGUAUCUGCACCAUUCUGCUCUGCCUCUUCAGCCAUGGGGUGGGCAGGGAACUUAGAAGGGAACCCUGGGAAGCAGCUUCUGUGUUCAGGAGCAGACGCUUCCUUGGUAGGGACUGGUAUUGCAUUUACAUUAUAAAAAGCUCUAGUCCUUUCACAAUUACAUACUUGAGUUAUGAACUUGCUUUGGAACAAGUUAGAUUGUGUUGGUAUGAAAAGCUGGUAUUUUUUCCACCUGGUGCUCUGGAGUCUAACUUUGGCUUAAUUCCUUUUCUUCAGGCUGUCAGAUAUAAUAGCUCUAAGGAAGAAUCGAUCUCCAUAGCCACUGUAAGAGAGGAAACAAUUCUGAAGAAAGGUGAUAACUGAUUUUUUUUUUUAAUGUACUUAAUAUUUAAGCAAAAAGCACAUAAGAAAACUAUAAUCUGUCUUAGAAGGUCUGCAUAAUGUCUCUCUGUGCUCUGCCUUGUCUUUUGGGAGCCCACACCAAAGCCUCCAAACUAGACAAGCAUGCAGAUAGAUUUCUUCAAAACAUCCCAUGUACCUGUUCUGGAAUGGCUUUUGAACAGCAAGUUGUGUCCUCUUCCAUUUCAGAAACACAUGGGAAGAAUCCCUGUCUCAUUCAGGCACAGCUCUGAAAUGGUAUUUUAUGUAAGCUUGAUGAAUGCUAGAGGAAAUGUCCUCCUGUUGCUGAAACAAAGCAUUUGUUAGGGGCUUUUUGCUAACAUGGAUGCACCUGUGUGUUUCUCUGAAUGACUGAAGCAUAUGUACAGGGCUUCAUUUCCUUAACAAACUUUGAGUGGGUUUCUUAUUGGUCAAAAACUGUGGCCAGGAUCACAGCAAGGGAUCUUUAUACAGAGCUCUCCUUCAUGUGAUACAAGCUUGCGUAACAUGCAAUUUCUCCUUUUGGUUCAGAUCUGGCACUAGCUCCAUGUUUUUUUCUCUUCUGAGUUUGAGAGAGUUUGCAAUGAUUUAUCCUAUUUAGGACAAAAUCAUUCUCAGAUUAUCUUACAGAUGUCCCUCCCUUGAAUUUUGUUACCCACUACCCACAGGAGCAAUGAAAACCUGUGACUGUACACUGUAAUCUUUCAGAGGGAAGAUGCUAAAUGUACCUCUGCGCUUUGUGGAGUACAAGAUACUUGGUGAUGUUUAGCAAGUGUGUGUGUAUGUGUUUGUGUGUG